UCUCGCCUCCGCCUCACCGAUGAGUCCUGUGGUUGACUUGCUGAAGCAGAACGUCCUCUGCAUUAUGGAAGUUGAUAUGACAGAAAUGCUUUUUAGUAUCAAUUUAUUGGUAUAGUGCUGCCACUUGAGUCUUGCCUUGCUCCUGCCCUAGUUAUUAGUUAAGUAGUUAACAGUAGCUACCUUGGAGCAUGGGGACUUGCAGAACCAUGCACGUGGGGACCUCUCAACGUUUUGAAACCAUACCGGGUUGUCUACCUGGCCUAUGUGGACUGAACUGAAGCCGGACACGCCAAUGUCUGCGCACAUGGCAGACGCUGCCCGAAUGACUCGAUUGCAAGGAGACUUAACCUGGAAAGGUGUGCAACAGAACCAAAGAUGGUGUGGCGGCAUCUGAAAAGAUUUGGGAGGCUACUCCCUCAUGGCCACUGGCUGAAGCAUACACAUGAAGCCAUACACACACGGCAAGAGACUCCACCCAAAUGAUUUAAUGAUGGAGACAACACCUCAAAAGGUGUGACGCUGCCCCAAUGAGUUGGAUGGCAUGGAGACUCCAUCUGCCAAGGUCAGGCUAACACCCAUUAUAGUCACACCUCAUCUGUCCCAU